UACGGAGGGUGCGAGCGUUGUCCGGAAUCACUGGGCGUAAAGGGCGCGUAGGUGGCGUCGCAAGUCAACGGUGAAAGCUCGACGCUCAACGUCGAGUCGGCCGUCGAGACUGCGAGGCUCGAGCACUGUAGAGGGCAGAUGGAAUUUCCGGGGUGUAGGCGGGUGGAAAUGCGGUAGAGAUCGGAAAGAACACCGGGUGGCGAAGGGCGGGUCCUGGCUGGGGCAGUUGCUGGGACAACUGGAGGCGCUGACAGCGUGGGGGAGCAACAGGGAUAGAUAUCCUGACAGUCCUAG
rnacentral:rRNA from 1 species